ensembl:lncRNA
GGAAACCGAAUUCAGCAGCUCUGGGUUUUAUGACGCAAUUUUCGCUGAACGUACAGACCUACAAAAUGGAGAAAUCAGGGGGAAUAAUAACAGGACGAUGGGUCACACUGUGGAUUGUGAAGCUGAAGAGGAAAAGUGUAUCAGGUGUAAUAACGAAGAGGAAACACAAACUGCGUGGUGUGAUUCAGGAAGACACUGGAGGAUAAUCUUUUCUUCUAGAUACGGAUAUGUGAAGAGAAGAAUGGUAGACGUCUUCCAGUUCAGUAGAUGGCGGUAACACACCAACAGUAGUAGUACAAGAAGAAGGAAACCCGGAAGCCGGUAGCCAGUGUUUCUAUUACACAUUUGAUUCUGGGCAAAGGAAGGCUUUACAUGUGAGUAUAUUUCGGGUAAAUGUUACUCAUUGUGUCUGUUGAAGUGUUUAAUACCAUUACCUGUGUGUCUAUACUUGUAGCGACCGUCUCCAUGCCGUGUGUGUGUGUGUGUGCGCGCGUGCGGUGUACUGUAAGUGCUUUAUUGACAAGAUUGUUUACAUGCAGUAUUGCCAAAGCAUCAGUAUAGUUAAAGGAGAAUUUAAUAAUAAUAAGAAGAAGAAUGGAAUAACAAUAGUAAUGAUCACAAAAAUAUUACAUAAAAAUGAAAAGUGACACAAUGCAAGGUGCCAGUGUAAGACAAAAGUAUAAAAGUUACACUAAUUAUGUGCAGAGUGCAGUUGUGCCUGGUUUCCUGUUGUCUGAUUGACUGUAAGGGCCUAGUUGUGACCGUAGAUCUCCAGCGGGUCCAGUGGCUGACAGCAGCACCACGUCACCUGCAUAGAAGAGGAAUUUCAGCUCAGGAUUAUAUAAACAGGUUCACAGCAGAGCGUGAGGUGGGACACCAGAGCUUCACCACCCUCCCUGGAAACAUGAUUCUCUGGUCAAGGUGGUUUUCAUUCAUGGCACAUUCAAUAACCGUUUUGUUCCUUCUCCUCUGCUCUCAGUUGGUUGUCGGUGGUGUUGUGACUUCUGCCAGAGGGAACACCAGCACAUUGUCCUGCAGAAACAUUUCUGCUGGUGAUGGUUACAAGUACCCAGUGCUGUCUUAUAUACCAUCUGCUGUACUGUGGAACAAGGACUGUGAGCAAGAGUGGUACAAUGAGGCAGGUGAGUUUUUGUCAGAUGGACAUCAUGCAAAUAAAACUAGGCACCGACUGGUUGUUGAGGAAAGCAGUGAACACAUCACACUCUCUAAAUGCGUCAAGCUUCACUAUUAUGUGACCUGUCAUGGAUCGAGUCAAAAGUUUAAACACACUUACCAAGUGAUCAAUGACACCACCCUGAGUUUUGAGCAGCAAUCCGAUAGCAGCAGCACCACCAACACCACCAUCAUCUCUGUCGUCAUUCCCCUGAUUGUAGGCCUGCACUACAUUUUUAAAAAAAAAAAAAAAAAAAAAAAAAAAGGUAAAUAUGCAUCACCCUUACAUAGGCAGCUAAAUGAGGGAAGUUUAAAUAUUUGAAUCUGCUGUGUGAUGACUGUAACAUUAGACGUUGCACUGUGAUGUAGGGUGAAAUCAUUUGUGAAGGAGGGGGUUUUAAUGUUAAAAUGCUUUUCCUGCACGUUCACCUGUCCUGUUAAACCGCUGUAUGGUCUUGGCCAUCGUGCUGCAGCUCAGUGUCCGGUUCUUGGCAAUCUUCUUACAGCCUAGGCCAUUUUUAUGUAGAGCAACAAUACUUUUUUCAGAUCCUCAGAGUUCUUUGCCAUGACGUGCCAUGUUGAACUUCCAGUGACCAGUAUGAGGGAGUGUGAGAGCAAUGACACCAAAUUUAGCACCCAUGCUCCCCGAUUCACACCUGAGACCUUGUAACACUAACAAGUCACAUGACACCGGGGAGGGAAAAUGGCUAAUUGGGCCCAAUUUGGACAUUUUCACUUAGGGGUGUACUCACUUUUGUUGCCAGUGGUUUAGACAUUAAUGGCUGUGUGUUGAGUUAUUUUGAGGGGACAGAAAAUUUACACUGUUACACAAGCUGUACACUCACUACUUUACAUUGUAGCAAAGUGUCAUUUCUUCACUGUUGUCACAUGAAAAGAUAUAAUCAAAUAUUUACAAAAAUGUGAGGGGUGUACUCACUUUUGUGUGAUACUGUAUGUGUGUGUGUGUGUGUGUGUGUGUGUGUGUGUGUGUAUGUAUGUAGUGUGUGUAUAUCUAAAUGUGUGCAAUAUUUGUAUAUAUUUACAGUGAACCUGUUUUUACUUAUUCUUAAUUAACUGUUUUUAAACUCUCUCAUUUUAACUGUAAUGUUUAAGUGUCCUUUGUUGCUCUCUGAGAGUUGCCACACUAUAUUUCAUCGUAUUGCAUACAACAACAAAGUGUUUUACACUUAGUGUAAGAGUUAAACCUUAACUACUGGAUGUAGAUAAACAGGACUGAUUGAAACAAAUAUGGCUAUAUAGAUGUUUUUGAUGGAUAAAUAAAUAGUUAGGGCUGUCUAUUGAUUAUUUUGAUAAUUGAUUAGUGCACCAUUGCCUUCUAUUAAAUAAUCUAGUAGUUGAUAUCGUAUAGCAUCUUAAAACCUACUUAUUAAAUGUUAAAUUGUUUUUUUACCUAAUAUUCUGACUAUUUAAUGAAAAAAAAAUGUUUUUUUUGUGUAUAUACAAUUUAAAAAUCCUGAAUUGUAUCUGUAGCAUUACUGUUUUGUUUGUGUGUUUACUGUAAGGGAGACAAAGAAGAGAAAUUUAAAAUGGCAAAUUCUUAAUCUCAAUUUAAAAUGCACUUUAUUAAAUAAUUUGACUAAUUUGUAAUGGCUAAGAGCCGUUGAUGAAAACAGAAUGUAGGAUUUAAUGUUGCAAUGUUCCAAAUACAAAGUUUGUACUUAUACUGAUACUUGUUAUUGUCAGAGGUGGUUCGAGUAUCAAAAAUAGUAACUCAAGUUAAAGUACCAUUACUUAGAAAAAUACGCCAAUCUGUCCAAGUAUGUUCUUGAUUAAGAGUAUGACUGUAUCUAGUUAAAAAUUAAG